AGUGAACGCUGGCGGCAUGCCUAAUACAUGCAAGUCGAACGGCAGCACAGUAAGAGCUUGCUCUUACGGUUGGCGAGUGGCGGACGGGUAACGCAUACAUCGCAUACUACUUUUUCUUGGGUGACAACGUAGGAACACUUAUGCUAACACCGCAUACGAUCAACGGCUGAAAUCAGUAGUUCUUCGGACCUUGCGCGUUUCUAUUAGCCGAUGUCGGAUUAGCUAGUUGGCUGGGUAAAGGCCCACCAAGGCGACGAUCCGUAGCUGGUCUGAGAGGAUGAUCAGCCACACUGGAACUGAGACACGGUCCAGACUCCUACGGGAGGCAGCAGUGGGGAAUAUUGGGCAAUGGGCGCAAGCCUGAUCCAGCCAUACCGCGUGAGUGAAGAAGGUCUUCGGGUUGUAAAGCCCUUUUGUUAGGAAAGAAAAACAGUAGGUGAAUACCCCGCUGUUCUGACGGUACCCAAAGAGAAAGCACCGGCUAACUUCGUG
rnacentral:rRNA from 1 species